GAUGAACGCUGGCGGCGUGCCUAAUACAUGCAAGUCGAGCGAACGGACGAGAAGCUUGCUUCUCUGAUGUUAGCGGCGGACGGGUGAGUAACACGUGGAUAACCUACCUAUAAGACUGGGAUAACUUCGGGAAACCGGAGCUAAUACCGGAUAAUAUUUUGAACCGCAUGGUUCAAAAGUGAAAGACGGUCUUGCUGUCACUUAUAGAUGGAUCCGCGCUGCAUUAGCUAGUUGGUAAGGUAACGGCUUACCAAGGCAACGAUGCAUAGCCGACCUGAGAGGGUGAUCGGCCACACUGGAACUGAGACACGGUCCAGACUCCUACGGGAGGCAGCAGUAGGGAAUCUUCCGCAAUGGGCGAAAGCCUGACGGAGCAACGCCGCGUGAGUGAUGAAGGUCUUCGGAUCGUAAAACUCUGUUAUUAGGGAAGAAAACAUGUGUAAGUAACUGUGCACAUCUUGACGGUACCUAAUCAGAAAGCCACGGCUAACUACGUG
rnacentral:rRNA from 1 species